CUUGACUUAUAAUAAGAGGUCCAGCCUGCCCAGUGAAUUUUAAACGGCCGCGGUAUCCUAACCGCGCGAAGGUAGCAUAAUCACUUGUUCUUUAAAUGGGGACUCGUAUCAACGGCAUCACGAGGGUUUUACUGUCUCCUCUUUUUGAUCAGUGAAAUUGAUCUUCCCGUGAAGAAGCGGGAAUAUUUUUAUAAGACGAGAAGACCCCAUGGAGCUUUAAACCAAAUAACAACUUAACUACUUAUCCCACAAUAAAUUUAAGCCCUGUUAUAAGGUUUUUGGUUGGGGUGACCGCGGAGUAAAGCACAUCCUCCACGACGGAAAGAACAUAAUCUUUAUUUAAGAACCACACUUCUAGAAAUUAGUAUACUAACGUUUACUGACCCGACAAUCGAUCAACGGACCAAGUUACCCUGGGGAUAACAGCGCAAUCUACUUCAAGAGCUCAUAUCGACAAGUAGGCUUACGACCUCGAUGUUGGAUCAGGGUAUCCCGGUGGUGCAGCCGCUACCGAAGGUUCGUUUGUUCAACGAUUAAAACCCU
rnacentral:rRNA from 1 species